rnacentral:rRNA from 1 species
GACGAACGCUGGCGGCGUGCUUCAGACAUGCAAGUCGAGCGGGCGGAGGUCGAACCGCAAGGGGAGGCUGAAGCUAGCGGCGAACGGGUGAGUAACACGUGGGUAAUCUACCCGGAAGACUGGGAUAACGGCCCGAAAGGGCCGCUAAUACCGGAUAAUAUCGCGGUCUCGCAUGAGGCUGCGAAGAAAGGCGAAAGCCACUUUCGGAUGAGCCCGCGACCCAUCAGCUAGUUGGUGAGGUAACGGCUCACCAAGGCGACGACGGGUAGCCGGUCUGAGAGGAUGGUCGGCCACACUGGGACUGAGAUACGGCCCAGACUCCUACGGGAGGCAGCAGUCGGGAAUAUUGGGCAAUGGGCGAAAGCCUGACCCAGCGACGCCGCGUGAGGGAAGAAGGCCUUCGGGUCGUAAACCUCUGUCAUCGGGGACGAGGAAGUGACGGUACCCGAGGAGGAAGCCCCUGCUAACUACGUG